rnacentral:rRNA from 1 species
UACGAAGGGGGCUAGCGUUGCUCGGAAUCACUGGGCGUAAAGCGCACGUAGGCGGCUUCCUAAGUCAGGUGUGAAAUCCUGGAGCUCAACUCCAGAACUGCCUUUGAUACUGGGAAGCUUGAGUCCGGGAGAGGUGAGUGGAACUGCGAGUGUAGAGGUGAAAUUCGUAGAUAUUCGCAAGAACACCAGUGGCGAAGGCGGCUCACUGGCCCGGUACUGACGCUGAGGCGCGAAAGCGUGGGGAGCAAACAGG